rnacentral:lncRNA from 1 species
GAGUUUGGGGAGGUGCUAAGUCAUAUCAAAUGCCUCUCAGAAGUUCCAAGCCACUCUUCCAAAAUAAUCCACCUGCCAGAUGUUGGGGGAUGGGAGCUCCCUGAAGCUGAAAUUUAUGAAUUGGUGCUGGGCAGAGUUGAUGGCUCUUUUUCCCCUACCUCCUCACUGCCUCUUCUCUCCUGGUCCUGCAACUGUUAACAGCCCCUUUUAGGAUUAGCUUCUCCUUCUUCGUGCUCUUGCUGCUUAGAACCACAGCUUUCUCUAGAAGGGAUCACAGCAGAGAUCAAAUGGUUCUUUUUAAACAAAUGAGCAAAUGAAGGUCAUAGAAAGUAAAUGACUUUUGAGAGGGAAAUAGGAGCAGAUUGAAUUCAUAUCUAGGGCUCUGAGGCCAUGUCACCAAAGUCACAUCUUCCUUUUUUGUCUGAUCCUGUAGAAGGCCUCCAGAAAUGUAUCUGUGAUUUCUGGCCUCAGGAGUCCCUGGAUGUCUCUUAAUGAUUCCCCAAGGUAGAAAGACAAUGAUGACUUUUCCUUCUAGGUUGAGGGUAUUGACCAACAGAAUGAGGAACCCUAGAAUAGUCAGGCUAAAGUUCUCUCAGGUCAAUAGGCAUAUCAUGACAGUCAUAAUAUUUAUUUGAAUUCAACAAAUGGUAUAUCUAACAUCAUGCUAGGUGCUUCCCUCUGCUUCAUUCUGCUCAUCUAUCAAAUGGAAAUGAUAACGGUAAGAAGCCAUCUGGGGUUUUUGUGAGGCAUAAUACAUUAAUACUUGUAAAACAUUGGGAAGGGUUUCUGGCAUGUGAGUGCUCAGUAAAGAUUUGCUCUUAUUCCUUGAGAUGAAUAGUGAGUCUCUGUCUCUGCCUGUGUGCCUUUACAUGUACAUGCUGAUUGUGGGAGGUUGCCAUGGAGAGGAGGAAGAUAAGGACAUACAUAAUGACAUAUACCACAGGUCACAAAACUGUUUUUCAAAUGGCCACAUAGUAAACAUUUUUGGCUUUGUGGACCACAGCGCCUGUCACAAUUAUUCGACACUGCUGUUGUAGCAUGAAAGCAUCCAUUGACAAUACUUAAAUGAAUGGGCAUGCUGUGUGCCCUAAGAUAUUAUUUAUUGACACUGAAAUUUGAACAUCCUAUAAUUUUCACAUCAUGACACAUUCUUUUUUUGUUGCUUUAGUUAUUUAAAAAAGUAAAAAAAAAAAA